rnacentral:rRNA from 1 species
GAAAGCAUCUAAGCACGAAACUUGCCCCGAGAUGAGUUCUCCCUGAGACUUAGAGUCUCCUGAAGGAACGUUGAAGACGACGACGUUGAUAGGCCGGGUGUGUAAGCGCAGCGAUGCGUUGAGCUAACCGGUACUAAUGAACCGUGAGGCUUAACCUUACAACGCCGAAG